UUGUAGAAUAUUUUCACAAAAACAUGUUAAAAUAAAGGCAAAUAGUUUUUAUAGUAUAAUCAUAAAGCCAAACAUAAAUUAGAACUGAAAAUAUACAAAAAUCGUUGGCACCACCCAUCUGACGUGCAACCAUUGGCUUUGGUUAUCUCGCUCUCGUCUUUUGUCCUUUCCAUGGCCAAUUUUGCUCACCUAUCUUUCACCAUUGUACGCUGUGUUUUGCUGCCGUCAAGGUUUUAAGCCCUUCUGCGCCCUCCAGUGAGGCUGCACCAUCAGAAUUACCAACAACAGUUUUACUAUUCGCACUAUUGUUGGUUUCUACAUUUCUAUCCUCUGUUGAAUUUAUUGUUGUACACAGUUCGGCGAAAUCGUUGGCGGGUUGGUAGGAGCCACCAAAAACACUCAAAAUAGAGGCAUUUGCCACAACUUUCUUCAAAUCUUGCAUUUUCUUGGUCAUGCUGUCCUAUGCGGUUCUCAUGUUUUUGAGGGAGAUGAGCCAAAUCGUCAAGCUGGGUACUGUGGUUUAUUAAAUAAAGUAAAGUUAUAAAAGCUGCGCCGUAGCACCCCUUUUGAAAAGAUGAAUAUAUUUAGAUAA